AAAAGAAAAUCAUAUCCCUAAUGAUUAUUAAAUCUGGAUAUGUAUUUUCAAAAUGUGCUGCUAAAAUGUUAAGAAGCCACUCACAUGUUCUGGAAGCAUAAUACAAUUUUCAAUUUUGAAAAUAUGUUUUCAUGAUUCAGUAGUCUAUUAAAAUAUUCCUACAAAAACCUAGCACAGACAUUUUAUUCCUUCCCUGAAGAAACAUGGCCUCCCUGGUUUCUUUAGUUCCUUUCUCACAGAAUUCAAAACAAAAAUGUUACUUAUAAAUAUAGUUAGAAUGAUGAAAGUAGAGGAACAGUAUCUGCUUACCUAAAACCUUGUUGCAGGAGGUCAUCUAGAGGACAUGAAAGCAGGUUCACCUGUGAGCUGGAUCGACCAAUCUUGGGACCCUGGCUACUGGACGCUCCUUACCUGCCUCCCGCGUCCUGGGAAUGUAAGCUCCUCCCACCAUUCCCACAGGGGAGCCUCUUCAAGGAGCAGCCUUGAGAGAGCACGUGUUAUUGAGACCAUCUGGACUACAUUCGUGACUGAACCCCGUCUAGACCUCUAUGUAAACUAUAAGAUUCUGGCGUGCAAUGCGGAGAUCCACUCAUCUUGCGGUUGUUGAAGACAGGCUUGGAGGUACCAAGGCUGAGAUGAGCUUUCCUGGUUGACAGGACCCCAUGCAUGUUGUCACACCUUGUUUCCAGGAAGAGUUAACACUGUCCUUGGUUCUCUGGAGAGAAGACAUCUGGAAUUUCCCUGUUUGGACCCCUCCUGGACUCUGACCUACCCGUAUCUUCUCUUGGCUGAUUUAAACUGUUACCAUCACCAAUAAUAUGUCAUAUUGAUAUUGCACACCCCGUGAUAUGAUAUGACAAGAAAGUCACUUCACCUCUACGAUGGUCUCUCGCCAAAUCCGUAAUCCUAGACUAAUCGUGAGAAAACAUCAAACAUAAGGGAGAUUUUACAAGAUACCUGGCCAGCACUCUUCAAAAAUAUCAAGGUUUUAUGAAUCACAAGAACAGACUGAUAAACUGUAACAAAUUGAACUGAAGGGACAUGACUAGUAAAUGCAACAUGGUAUCCUGGGUUAUAGCGAGAAUCGGAAAAAGGAGUUUGGUGCAAAAACUGGUGAAAUGUGAAUAAAGUCCAAGGUCUAUUUAGCAUUGUUGUGCCGAUGUUAAUUUCACAGGGUUUAUAAUUUUACCCUGGUUAUGUAAAUAUUAACUUUACAGGAAGGUGGCUGAAGGGUAUAUGGACUCUCUGUACUAUCUUUUCAACUCUUUUUGUAAAUCUAAAAUAUUUCAAAGUAAAAAGUUUAAAACAAUCACCAAUCCUUCACUUUCAUGAGUAAGAGAAUAAUUUGCAACCCUGUUCUUCAGCAAAACGUGACUUGGCUUUCCUGCUUCAUUUUUCUCCAUAGUAUAGAAGAGUCAUCUUGACAAUUUGCCAUCUUGAUUUUCCUAUUUAUUUUGUGUGUUGUCUGGCUUGUAUCCUCAAAAAGUAAGCUCCAUGACUGUAGAGAUUUUUUUUUAGUUUACUUCACUGUAAUGUCCACUGUACCCAGAAUUUAGCAAAUAUUUGUCAGAUUGAAUUAUUCAAAUUAAGCAUUCUCUAGUUUAGAAAUACAUUUUGGAUAUAACUAUUUCAAUCUUAUUUUGAGGUGCAAAAGGAUGUACAUGUUGUAAAGUCCUAGUCAGAUUUGGCAGUAUACUCCACAAUGUACAAGAUAUAUCUAUUCACAAUUUCCAAAGCAUAACAAAUUAAUUUUCUAAAUUUUAAUUGUUUCUUAUAUCAGAAAAUAGCCCUUUCUGGCCAAAGAAUAGGAUAUCAUUAGUCAUGGUUCCCAUUAUAGGCAGUUUCUAUGUAUUUCAAAGAGAUAGUUAACUAUGUUGUUCUUAGUUUGAUCAUAAUAAUCACUAGAUAAUAAGAUGCCACAUACCGUUUAGAGUAAAGCUCGCCUCUUUAUAAUGUAAUCACUUUAAAAUUACAGUUUAAAAUAUUAUAUAAAUUGUAUUUUAUCCUAAGACUGAUACAUAUUUAUUUAUGGAAUUUUAUAAUUUCACAUGACAGCCAAAUACAACAUAUGUUUUCUGUUAGCGCUUAUGACAUUUUGUUGUCUCCACAAAUCUGACUUUUCACCUAUACUUCCUUGUAAUUAAUUGUUUGUUCUUGUUUCGGAGCAUUUGAUGGAUUGUGUAGCUAUAAUUUGUGCAUCAGAUACUGAAUGUUAAAGUUCAUAAAGUUGUCUCAUCUAUUAAUUUGGUGGUAAAUCAAAUUAAUAAGGAAUGACAGAAAUAAAAUGAGAAAA
ensembl:lncRNA